rnacentral:rRNA from 1 species
AUGCCCUUUGUUCCCCCUGCAGAUUCGUUGUACCAUCGGUACUUUCAAGCGCAUAGGAGGGUUACGUGGGACAGGGUGAGGGUACUGGACAAGGAGAAAACACCUGGUGGGAUAAAAGUUCUACCGCCGGAGCGGGAUCAAAAAGGAUUGCCUACAUGUAUUUAUGAGGCAAUGAUGGCAUGGAUGGAAUCCCACCUGAGGCUUAAUGGAAUAAUUGUCCGGUUGUCAUCCAAGGACCUUCAGGACAAGGAGCAAUCGCUAGUCAGUGGAGAAACUGACAGGACAGUGCGUUGCAUGGAAGUGGUCAGCACUACCGGUAUCCUGUGUGAGGAUGAUUACAAAAAUCAGAAUUUUGAUGGUGUCCGGUAUGUGGUGGACGGGGGAAAGUCAUUUUUUUCCUUAAACCAGGAGGCCGUCCAGCGGGCAGUCGAAACAAUGCGUAGUGGCCCCCUUCUUCUUGUGUUUCAUUGUGGCGAGGACUACUACGACUACAUUGCUAAAUACAAGUGCAAACCAAUCCUGAGUUACAAGAAAUACCGACAUGAACAAAUGCUCACCCAUGCCGUCAACUGUAUCGGUUAUGGUGUUGAGACAUUCGUGCCCAGCUGGGAGUUCCAAAACUCUUACGGGAAAAAGCUUGGGCCCAGAGGUAGGCUGCUCCCUCAGAAUGCAAUUCGCCUGUAUGGGAUGACUAGGAUCCGUGCUGUGCUAAGCUCAAGGAAGAGGAAGAGGAUGUUUCUAGAUGAUCCUAAUGCUGAUUUUCUCCAGCCCCCGCUGAAAAAGCGCAUGUUGGAGCUGAAAAAGCCCAUGUUGGAGCCACCGAUUGAUUGGAUGGACAUCGAUGAUCUGUACUGUGCGUCUUCUUUUUCCUGUACCUCACUUUGA